rnacentral:rRNA from 1 species
GACCGCCGAAGACAUCCAAGUGGGUCAAUAAGGUAUCUUCGGAGAUCAUCAUUUUCGGAUGGGUGAGUAACGCGGGGGUAAUCUCCCUUACACUGGGGGAUCACAUCUGGAACCCCGUUCGGAUACCGCAUAGGUGCUAGAAUAUGACGUUUAGCAUGAAAGAUUUGUUGGGGUAAGAAGAGCGUGCGUAUGAUUAGCUAGUGGUCGGACAAGGGCCUACCAUGGCGAUGACCGUUAGUUGGUUUAAGAGAAUGGCCANCCCCANUGGGNCUGAGCCACGGCCCGCACUCCUACGGGAGGCACCAGUGGGAAAUUUUGCNCNAUGGAAGAAACCCUGAGGCACAACUGCCGCGU